rnacentral:rRNA from 1 species
UACGAAGGGGGCUAGCGUCGUUCGGAAUUACUGGGCGUAAAGGGCGCGUAGGCGGUUUGACCAGUCAGGUGUGAAAUUCCCGGGCUUAACCUGGGGGCUGCACUUGAUACUGUCAGGCUUGAAUUCGGGAGAGGAUAGCGGAAUUCCCAGUGUAGAGGUGAAAUUCGUAGAUAUUGGGAGGAACACCGGUGGCGAAGGCGGCGAUCUGGGUGGUGACUGACGCUGAGGCGCGAAAGCGUGGGGAGCAAACAGG